UUCCUGAAACUUGACUUCGCCAGGGCUUUUGACUUGGUUGGUUGGCCUUAUCUGCUAGAUGUAAUGGAGACUUAUGGUUUUGGGCAGAGAUGGAGAAACAUUAUUAGUCUAUGGUUGGCCUCUUCAUCUUCUCGGUUGCUUCUUAAUGGGUGUCCUGGACAUCCCUUUGCUCACAAAAAGGUCUGCAGCAAGGGGAUCCACUAUUUUUGA
rnacentral:rRNA from 1 species